AUUGUACUGUAGUUCCAUGGUAGCUACGCUGAUGUUGAUUGCCACUGUGUACAGCAGCAUGGCUUUGAAGAAUAUCAAAGUUAUCAACUGAGGCAAUUGUGAAAACAGAAGGUGAAAGUAUUGUCCAAACAUUUUUUUUCCCUGUUUUCACUAGCGUGCAUACUGACAAACCUGUCAUGUGUGUCUGGUGAAGACACACAUCCAAGUCUAUUCAGCAUUUUUAUUAGCUGUCGUGAACCACCACCUGUCUCAACAAUAUCAGCUAAGACAUUAUGAAAUGCUGUUGGCUUUCUUGGGUUGGUGACGAACAUUAAAAGAGAUAUGAUGAAAAAAAGACGGGUUUGUCUAAUGUGGGCUGUUAAUUUACUGUAAUUAGAUGGACUCUGUGUGGCUUGAUCUAGAAAAUUUAUAAGCAAUGGAUUUGUCUCCUCCAUAAACAGAUGUAUGUUGAAAUUGCAUGGAUCUUUAUUGGUAUUACAAUGCCCAAUUUCUUUGUUAAUUAAUUUGUUGACAAUUUUUGCACUUUUAUCUAGUAUUUGUGGCUCAUCUAAGCACUCAUUGUCAUGCAUGUAUUGAAAAGAAUCUUGGCAUUGCCUUGAUCCUAGAGCCCAUGAUAAGCAAGUCAAAAGGAUCAACUGAUAUAGAAGCCAACGGGGAGUGAACUUGGUGGUACCAUUUUCUGUUUCAAGAACAACAUCUGUAUUAUAGACUGAAGUAGCAACAUAGCAUUCAUCACUAUAGGCAUUGAGAAAAACUCUACAAGCAUCACUCAGAAGUAGAGCCUUCUCUUGUGUAAAGCUUCUGGCAACAGCUAGAACUGCACUUAAAACUGCUCUUUUUAGGAUCUGUUUCAAUGUGCUUGAUUAUGGAAAUGUGUGCGUUAUAGCACGACUUACAUAAUAAGUCAUUUGAGGAACAUAAUUUGGUUUAUGAUGGUAUCGACUUGCUUCAAGGUAAUGUUUUUUACAAGCAAAUAUUGCUGCACUUCGGUUAUGAGUUGUGUUUGGCAAAUGGCGGAAAAUAAAAGACUGAUAUUCAUCUUUCCAGCUAGUUACGGAACUUAGCUGGCCAUCAGCUCUCUUGCCACAUAGGUGACACUGCUUUGGUGGUGCUUCAGCCAUUUGGGAUACAAGAUAAACGAUGUAAUACCAAACUCUUGACCCUAUAUUCUCUAAGACAAAUUUGUACUAUGGAUAAAUGACAAGAACAGUUCAG